CAGCAGUUGCUUUGGAGAGAGGAAAGAAAGUCUUGAUUAACUGACGGGCAGGGAGUGGGGAAGGAGAGCAGGGAGGCUAUGUUAAAUUCAUAAGAACAUUAAAAUAGCCUGGUGCUAAGCGAAAUUGACCGAUCUACUGUGUGUAAUCUCUGUAGAAUUUUGCGGCAACUGCCUCCAUAGGGGAAUCUUUUCAACAUUACUUUUUUGAACCCUAUAAAAUGUUCCUUCUCCCUCUCCAAAAUAAGAUUGCACUAAGUAACUGUAUGCAGCAGUGUUGAUGGAGGGUCAGUCUUGAGAAUAGAACCACACUUAACUGCCUAAUACAUUAGUCCAUUUGUGUAGUUUUUGGCAUUCUAGUAAUUUUCGGUUUUGCUUUCCUUUUGAAACUGUGGAUGGCAGGUGGCAUGUUUUACUUAAAAUAAGCUCCACACGGGAUAAAUCCAGCAGGUCUGUGAUUGAGUCAGCAGUUUUUUUAAAGCUUGUUUUCCCAGAAUGAUUACAGACCUGGGUCCAAAGAACAAGAUGCAGUAGCGGACAGAUUGCUGACCAGAGGCUUGAGAGCUGAGUUCUGUUUUCCCUGCUCAAACUGACUUUGCAGCCACGGAGAGGUAAAUGCUAUUUCCACUUCUUGGUCUUACAUAUAGGAGUAAUAAAACCUUUCUGGGGUUGGAGGAUUUGCUGGAU
rnacentral:lncRNA from 1 species